rnacentral:rRNA from 1 species
UACGUAGGGGGCGAGCGUUAUCCGGAUUUAUUGGGCGUAAAGCGUGUGUAGACGGUUUAUUAAGUUUAAGAUUAAAGCCCGAGGCUUAACCUCGGUUCGUCUUAAAAACUGGUAGACUUGAGUGUAGUAGAGGCAAGUGGAAUUUCUAGUGUAGCGGUUAAAUGCGUAGAUAUUAGAAGGAACACCAGUGGGGAAGCCGACUUGCUGGGCUAUUACUGACGUUGAGACACGAAAGCGUGGGGAGCAAAUAGG